CCUGGUUGAUCCUGCCAGUAACAUAUGCUUGUCUCAAAGAUUAAGCCAUGCAGGUCUAAGUGCACACGGAAGGUACAGUGAAACUGCGAAUGGCUCAUUAAAUCAGUUAUGGUUCCUUUGAUCGCUCCACACGUUACUCGGAUAACUCUGGUAAUUCCAGAGCUAAUACAUGCAAACCAGCGCUGACCGGUCCUCUCUCGGGGGGGCCGGGAUGCGUGCCUUUAUCAGACCCAAAACCCACCCGGGCGGACCCGCGAGGGUUUCCCCCGGCCCUUUGGUGACUCUAGAUAACCUCGGGUCGAUCGCGCGCCCACCGCGGCGGCGACGUCUCAUUCGAAUGUCUGCCCUAUCAGCUGUCGAUGGUAGCAUAGGGGGCUACCAUGGUGACCACGGGUAACGGGGAAUCAGGGUUCGAUUCCGGAGAGGGAGCCUGAGAAAUGGCUACCACAUCCAAGGAAGGCAGCAGGCGCGCAAAUUACCCAUUACCGACACGGUGAGGUAGUGACGAAAAAUAACAAUGCAGGUCUCUUUCGAGGCCCUGUAAUCGGAAUGAACGUAUCCUAAACACAUGGGUGAGGACCCAUUGGAGGGCAAGUCUGGUGCCAGCAGCCGCGGUAAUUCCAGCUCCAAUAGCGUAUAUUAAAUUUGCUGCAGUUAAAAAGCUCGUAGUUGGACUUCGGGAGUGGGCUGGCGGUCCGCCGCGAGGCGAGCUACCGCCUGUCCCAGACCCUGCCUCCCGGCGCCCCCCGGAUGCCCUUGGUUGGGUGUCCGGUCCUCAGGGGUCCGGAGCGUUUACUUUGAAAAAAUCAGAGUGUUCAAAGCGGGCACCAAACUCGCCUGAAUGCCUGAGCUAGGAAUAAUGGAAUAGGACUCCGGUUCUAUUUUUUGGGUUUCGGAACCAGGGCCAUGAUUAAGAGGGACGGGCGGGGGCAUUCGUAUUGCGCCGCUAGAGGUGAAAUUCUUGGACCGGCGCAAGACGGACGAAAGCGAAAGCAUUUGGCAAGAAUGUUUUCAUUAAUCAAGAACGAAAGUCGGAGGUUCGAAGACGAUCAGAUACCGUCGUAGUUCCGACCCUAAACCAUGCCGACCCGCGAUCCGGCGGCGUUAUUCCCAUGACCCGCCGGGCAGCGUGCGGGGAAACCAGAGUCUUUGGGUUCCGGGGGGAGUAUGGUUGCAAGACUGAAACUUAAAGGAAUUGACGGAAGGGCACCACCAGGAGUGGAGCCUGCGGCUUAAUUUGACUCAACACGGGGAACCUCACCCGGCCCGGACACGGAAAGGUUUGACAGAUGAUGGCUCUUUCUCGAUUCUGUGGGUGGUGGUGCAUGGCCGUUCUUAGUUGGUGGAGAGAUUUGUCUGGUUAAUUCCGAUAACGAACGAGAUUCCUUCGUGCUAAAUAGUUACGCGGCCCCCCGCGGUCGCGGUUAACUUCUUAGAGGGACCAGUGGCGUAUAGCCACGCGAGAUGGAGCAAUAACAGGUCUGUGAUGCCCUUAGAUGUCCGGGGCUGCACGCGCGCCACAAUGGCCGGGCCAGCGUGUGCCUACCCUACGCCGAGAGGCGCGGGUAAUCCGCUUAAACCCGUUCGUGACGGGGAUUGGGGAUUGCAAUUAUUCCCCAUGAACGAGGAAUUCCCAGUAAGUGCGGGUCAUCAGCUCGCGCUGAUUAAGUCCCUGCCCUUUGUACACACCGCCCGUCGCUACUACCGAUUGGAUGGUUAUGUGAGGUCCUCGGAUCGGCCACGCCGGGGCUCCUUCGCGGGGCCUUGGUGCUGUGCUGAAAAGUCGAUCGAACUUGAUCAUCUAGAGGAAGUAAAAGUCGUAACAAGGUUUCCGUAGGUGAACCUGCGGAAG
rnacentral:rRNA from 1 species